GGGUGAGUAACACGUGGGCAAUCUGCCCUAAAGACUGGGAUACCACUUGGAAACAGGUGCUAAUACCGGAUAACAACAUGAAUCGCAUGAUUCAAGUUUGAAAGGCGGCGUAAGCUGUCACUUUAGGAUGAGCCCGCGGCGCAUUAGCUAGUUGGUGGGGUAAAGGCCUACCAAGGCAAUGAUGCGUAGCCGAGUUGAGAGACUGAUCGGCCACAUUGGGACUGAGACACGGCCCAAACUCCUACGGGAGGCAGCAGUAGGGAAUCU
rnacentral:rRNA from 1 species